UAAGACAAUUCAGUACAAAUUCAAAAUGGAUACCAAAGCUGUUCUACUAGCUAUGCUCGUUUUGUCGAGCCUGCUUACUAUAGCUAUCUGUGAACCCAACCCGUUGCCGUCCAGUGAUGUCAUUGAUGUGAGCCCUACAAACAAAGCAUCAAACACCGACACACAGAAAACUACAGGCAAUCAGAGUCAAAAGAAUAAGCCGAAAAUACCUUUCUUCCCGUUUAAGUAGGGCGUACUGCUGUUUUGAUGGAUACCUUGAUGUAGUUAAGAGAAAUAAAGGAUGUAUUUA